UACGGAGGGUGCAAGCGUUGUUCGGAAUCACUGGGCGUAAAGGGCGUGUAGGCGGUCCGCUAAGUCUGAUGUGAAAGCCCGGGGCUCACCCCCGGAAGGGCAUUGGAAACUGGCGGACUCGAGUCUCGGAGAGGAAGGUGGAAUUCCUGGUGUAGCGGUGAAAUGCGUAGAUAUCGGGAGGAACACCAGUGGCGAAGGCGGCGAUCUGGGAAGAUACUGACGCUGAGGUGCGAAAGCGUGGGGAGCAAACAGG
rnacentral:rRNA from 1 species